GCUAGAUCUAGUCCUAGAACUACACAACUAAAAUAUCUUAAACUAUUACAAAACAUUCAUUAGUCCUAGUAUAGGUGAUAGAACAGACCGAAUAGGCACAAUAGAGAAAGUACCGUGAGGGAACGUUGAAAGAUUCAAUCCUGUAAGCAAUAAAAAGCAAAGAUCACACCUUCUACCUUUUGCAUAAUGAUUUAGCUAGUUAAAUCGGACAAAAAGAAUUAAAGCCCGCCCUCCCGAAAUUAAGUGAGCUAUUGUAGAACAGUUGUUAGAACUAACUCGUCUGUGUAGCAAAACAGUGAGAUGAUUUUACAAUAGAGGUGAAAAGCCUAUCGAACUUAAUGAUAGCUGGUUGUCCAAAAACGAAUUUAAGUUCAACUUUAAAUUUAACACAAGUAACUACAAACAUAAUUUAAAUUUAAAUGCUAUUCAAAAGAGGGACCAACUCUUUUGACACCGUAUACAAACUUUCCCUAGAGGGAUAAUGAAAUAAUAUACAAAACAUUGUGGGCCUAAAAGCAGCCAUCAAUUAAGAAAGCGUUAAAGCUCAAACUUCACCCUAUAUUUAAUUCCAAUAAUUAACCCAAAAUCCCCUAAACCCUAUAUUGGACAAUUCUAUAAAUUAUUUAGAAGAUAUAAUGCUAAUAUGAGUAACCCGAACACAUUCUCCUUGCACAAGUAUAAAUACAGAUCGGAACAUCCACUUACACUUAACCAAACAAAUAGACAAAACCACACACUAGCAACCUACUACGCACAUUGUUAACCCAACCCAGGCGUGCAUACAAAGGAAAGAUUAAAAGGAAUAAAAGGAACUCGGCAAACACGAACCCCGCCUGUUUACCAAAAACAUCACCUCUAGCAUUUACCAGUAUUAGAGGCACUGCCUGCCCGGUGAGUUAUGACUUUAACGGCCGCGGUAUCCUGACCGUGCAAAGGUAGCAUAAUCACUUGUCUUUUAAUUGAGGACUAGUAUGAAUGGCACCACGAGGGCUCAACUGUCUCUUAUUCCCAAUCAGUGAAAUUGACCUUCCCGUGCAGAGGCGGGAAUUACAAUACAAGACGAGAAGACCCUGUGGAGCUUAAGUCGCAUAACUCAAAACAUACUAACAUCUAACUCAUCAGAAUCAACCUGUAUAAAUACCUGAGUUAUAGUCUUUGGUUGGGGUGACCUCGGAGCAUAAAACAACCUCCGAAUGAACAUAACCUAGAUUAACCAAUCUAAGUGUAAUAAUACCAGUAAUUGACCCAUAUUUUGAUCAACGGAACAAGUUACCCCAGGGAUAACAGCGCAAUCCUAUUUGAGAGCCCAUAUCGAAAAUUAGGGUUUACGACCUCGAUGUUGGAUCAGGACACCCAAAUGGUGCAACCGCUAUUAAAGGUUCGUUUGUUCAACGAUUAAAGUCCUACGUGAUCUGAGUUCAGACCGGAGAAAUCCAGGUCGGUUUCUAUCUGUAAAUUCAUUUCUCCCAGUACGAAAGGACAAGAGAAAUAGGGCCAACGUCCCCAAAUAAGCCCUAGAACCAACAUAUGAAUAAAUCUAAAUCUACUAAACCAAUUUAUCUAACUUUCCCCAAGAACAGGGU
rnacentral:rRNA from 1 species